GUAUGUAACCGGAAAGGCACGUCUAACUACGUGCCUAGCAGUCGAGGUAAUAAGUAGGUGGCAUGCGUCGUCCGAGAUUCAUAGGACGUAAAACGAUCGCAGGCGGUUUUUUAAGUCUGAUGUGAAAGUCUUUCGGUCUCAACUGACGAAGUGCAUCGGAAGCUGGGAAACUUGAGUGCAGAAGAGGACAGUGGAACUCCAUGAGUAGCGGUGAAAUGAGUAGAUAUAUGUAAGAACACCAGUGGCGAAGGGCGUCUGUCUGGUCUGUAACUGACGCUGAGGCUCGAAAGUAUGGGUAGCAAGCAGGAUCAGAUACCCUGGUAGUCCAUGCUGUAAACGAUGAAUGCUAAGUGUUGGAGGGUUUCCGCCGUUCAGUGCUGCAGCUAACGCAUUAAGCAUUCCGCCUGGGGAGUACGUCCGCAAGGCUGAAACUCAAAGGAAUUGACGGGGGCCCGCACAAGCGGUGGAGCAUGUGGUUUAAUUCGAAGCUACGCGAAGAACCUUACCAGGUCUUGACAUACUAUGCAAAUCUAAGAGAUUAGACGUUCCCUUCGGGGACAUGGAUACAGGUGGUGCAUGGUUGUCGUCAGCUCGUGUCGUGAGAUGUUGGGUUAAGUCCCGCAACGAGCGCAACCCUUAUUAUCAGUUGCCAGCAUUAAGUUGGGCACUCUGGUGAGACUGCCGGUGACAAACCGGAGGAAGGUGGGGAUGACGUCAAAUCAUCAUGCCCCUUAUGACCUGGGCUACACACGUGCUACAAUGGAUGGUACAACGAGUUGCGAACUCGCGAGAGUAAGCUAAUCUCUUAAAGCCAUUCUCAGUUCGGAUUGUAGGCUGCAACUCGCCUACAUGAAGUCGGAAUCGCUAGUAAUCGCGGAUCAGCAUGCCGCGGUGAAUACGUUCCCGGGCCUUGUUCACGCCGCCCGUCACACCA
rnacentral:rRNA from 2 species